GGAAGCCCUGAGGUGGUGAGUGACCUACCAGUGUUUGUCUCUUCCUUUCUUUCAUUACUUUUUAAGAUGAUUUAGAGCUAGGCAACUCCAGAUGAGCAGUAAAAAAAUGCCAACAAAUCCUGUCCUCCUGAAAUCAGCAUCAUGUUAAUGACCAUAGACAACACAUUCCGACUGUAAGACCCCAAGCUUCUCAAAUCUGUGCUAGCCUGUGAAUGAGGGUACUCACAUCCCUGGAGACAUGCUGGACCAAUGAUCAUGAGCCGAGAUUGCCGGAGGGACUGGAAAUAAGAGGAGAGGCAGGAGACCCUUGUGGUUAUCACCUAGCACUCCUGACUAGAGAAAGUGUCCUUCAUGACGGACCUGAGGAGCAGGUGGAGAAAUAAGGAUUUGAGGGCAACCACAGCUCACAAACCUCACUAUACACAGACUUCAACUUAUGAGGGUUCAAUUUAUGGUAUUUUGACUUUAUGUUGGUACAAAAGCCAUGUGCAUUCAGUAGAAAUUGUACUUCCAGUUUUGAUCUUUCCUAGGCUAGCAGUGGCUGGGCAACAGCACUGAGCCAUGGCUCCCAGUCAUCCAUGUGGUCACAAGGUGGAACGAGAGAGACUCUGGCACAUUGUGUUGCUAAGCUGUGAUACUCAGUGGGUUAGGUGAAUUAAAGGCAUUUUUGGAUUUAACAAUAGUUUCCUCUUACUAUGGGCUUAUCAAGGAGUAACCCCAUCAUAAACUGAGGAGUGUCUGUGGUCUGGAACUGAGUCCCACUUAAGAGAGUCACUUACAUUUAAGAUGUGCAUAUAAUCCAGGAAGAGGAGAAAGGGUGAUAAUCACCACUCUGUAACACGUGACUGUAUACACUGACACAUUCCUGUGGAGUCACACCCAGAGGAACCGUCCCUUUAGAAAACAUGGAGGGAACGGCACACUAGUCAGAUAAGGGUUAAUGAAAAGAGGUGGGAUUAGAAGGGGGCUGAGUACAAGAUGGCCUCAGUGUCUAUUUUAAAAUAGAGCAAUCCAGGCAGCUGAGAGACAGCAGGAAGACUUUGCCAUCUUAUCUCACAGCCGCCUCUGCUGGUCCCGUCUCUGUUUUUGUAGUAAAUCAUGGAGUGAAGUGAUGCUCGGGUUCCUAGGAGACAAGGAGCAUCGUGUUGCCCUGCUUGCCUUUGGAGCAUCCAGCUGCAUAUUCUGGAGGGUGGUAGAAAAAGAUGACACCUUCCUGAUGACUUUCACACAUGACUCAGUAUGUCUGGACGCUCUUGUUGACGUCAACUUACUUGAUGUACUGGGUGACUGAGAGGAGAGAAUCAGGUUGGGUGGGUUCAGGCUCUUUCAUAUGAGACAAUUUUUAAUGUCUUUGCUUUGGGAAAGAAAGGAAACACCCAGUCCUGUUUCUUUUUUCUUAAAUUAGAGUGUGCUUUCUGCAUUAUAAAUUCUCCUAUCAUAGAUCUUAGCUUUGACUUGGAUGGUGACACAUGCAUAUCUGAGUGUGCCUGCUACAUGGCAUUAAUUCUAGUCUGAAGAGUCUGGGCUUCAGGAGGAGUCCCAUGCUGAUUGGCACCAUGCAGGAGGAAAGGCCUGCAGCAUAGUGGGCUGUCAUAAAGCAGAAGCUGGAUUGAAAACUAAGUUGCUUUUCUCUUGUGUUAAACGCACAAUGGAGUUUAGACAAUAGAGUUAGAAUUACUUACUUUGCGGGGUGGUGGUGGGGACCUAGUUGCAGGUAGUUGAAAUGACGUUGACAAAAUAGGACAAGAGUGUCAGGGAAGCCAUUCCCAAGUAAUGUUAAGAACUCAUAAAGCCAAGCUGGCACUUUCUAGGAAUGAAGUGACUGAUACCCCAACUAGGGAGAACAGGCUAUGGUCUGCAGUCUUCAGGUCUCCCAGUUUGCCUGCCCCCAAAUAUUCAGAGACAUCCUGAAAUAAAACUCAGCCCACUCUUACUGCUACCCC
ensembl:lncRNA